rnacentral:rRNA from 1 species
UACAGAGGUCUCAAGCGUUGUUCGGAUUCAUUGGGCGUAAAGGGUGCGUAGGCGGCGCGGUAAGUCGGGUGUGAAAUCUCGGAGCUUAACUCCGAAACUGCAUUCGAUACUGCCGUGCUUGAGGACUGGAGAGGAGACUGGAAUUUACGGUGUAAGCGGUGAAAUGCGUAGAUAUCGUAAGGAAGACCAGUGGCGAAGGCGGGUCUCUGGACAGUUCCUGACACUGAGGCACGAAGGCCAGGGGAGCAAACGGG